GACAGAGGGUGCUAGCGUUGUUCGGAAUUACUGGGCGUAAAGGGCGCGUAGGCGGUCUGUUAAGUUCGGUGUGAAAUCCCCUGGCUCAACUGGGGAACUGCGCUGGAAACUGGCAGACUCGAGUACCGGAGAGGAGAGUGGAAUUCCUGGUGUAGCGGUGAAAUGCGUAGAUAUCGGGAGGAACACCAAUGGCGAAGGCAGCUCGCUGGGACGUUACUGACGCUGAGACGCGAAAGCGUGGGGAGCAAACAGG
rnacentral:rRNA from 1 species